UUUUCAUUCCCGUUGUUAUGGAGGGCCACAUCUGCCAGAGCCUGGAGUCUGCGAAGGCCGGGACCCGGUUCCCCGGCCCACAGUGGGGGUGUGCAAACCCGAGAGAACUGGGUUGCAAAUUCGUGAAGAAUCAGCAUCAUGUUUGGCAGCUGAGUAUUGGAGCCAGGAGCCUGCCAUGAGGUUUUGAGAACAGAGUGCUGUUUUAGAGCUGGCAGCAGCAUCUCAGCCCAAGAGAAGCCGAUGCAGCCUCAGUGUUCCUUUGCCUUGGGGGUUUCUGAGUGGUGGGGUUGUAAGCAGAUCCUGCCAGGCACCCAGAAGGAAACCUCAUCAGGACUCCCUCAGAAAGGCCCUGAAGAAUCCUGUGACCUUCAUCUAAAGUAGGUCAUGAGACCCCUGAGCUUAAAACGGAGUGAUCGGCUUUGGAGAAGCAUGACUCCACAGUUUCUGCAACAACAGAGCCGGGGAAAGGAGGACGCAGCAAGCGCUGAAUAUUAACCAGCAAAGGUAGAUGCUUCAAUAUCGAAACCACCGGGACCCGCAUGUGCAAAGCUACUUAAUGAGGGUGUAAUCAAACACAGUCUACCA
rnacentral:lncRNA from 1 species